rnacentral:rRNA from 1 species
GACGAACGCUGGCGGCGUGCUUAACACAUGCAAGUCGAACGGAGAUUCCGGAUGGACGUUUUCGGAUGGAAGACCGUAAUUCUUAGUGGCGGACGGGUGAGUAACGCGUGGGCAACCUGCCCUAUACAGGGGGAUAGCAGCCGGAAACGGCUGGUAAGACCGCAUAAGUCGGCGAGACCGCAUGGUUUUGCCGGGUAAUGAGCAAUCAGGUAUAGGAUGGGCCCGCGUCCGAUUAGCCAGUUGGCAGGGUAAAAGCCUGCCAAAGCAACGAUCGGUAGCCGGACUGAGAGGUCGGACGGCCACAUUGGGACUGAGGCACGGCCCAAACUCCUACGAGAGGCAGCAGUGGGGGAUAUUGCACAAUGGAGGACACUCUGAUGCAGCGGCGCCGCGUGAGUGAAGAAGUAUUUCGGUAUGUAAAGCUCUAUCAGCAGGGAAGGUGGUGACGGUACCUGAAGAAGAAGCCCCGGCUAACUACGUG